rnacentral:rRNA from 1 species
GGUUAAGUGAAUAAGGGCGCACGGUGGAUGCCUUGGCACUAGGAGCCGAUGAAGGACGGGACUAACACCGAUAUGCUUUGGGGAGCUGUACGUAAGCUAUGAUCCAGAGAUUUCCGAAUGGGGGAACCCAACAUCUUUAAUAGGAUGUUACGAUUGUGUGAAUACAUAGCACAUUCGAGGUAGACGCAGAGAACUGAAACAUCUAAGUACCUGCAGGAAGAGAAAGAAAAUUCGAUUCCCUGAGUAGCGGCGAGCGAAACGGGAAAAGCCCAAACCAGCAAGCUUGCUUGUUGGGGUUGUAGGACUCCAAUAUGGUAGUUCUUUCAGAUAGUCGAAUGACUUGGAAAAGUCAGUCAAAGAGGGUAAAAACCCCGUAGACGAAAUGUGGAAGACACCUAGGAGGAUCCUGAGUACGGCGGAACACGAGAAAUUCCGUCGGAAUCCGGGAGGACCAUCUCCCAAGGCUAAAUACUCCCUAGUGACCGAUAGUGAACCAGUACCGUGAGGGAAAGGUGAAAAGCACCCCGGAAGGGGAGUGAAAUAGAACCUGAAACCGUGUGCCUACAACAAGUCAAAGCCCGUUAAUGGGUGAUGGCGUGCCUUUUGUAGAAUGAACCGGCGAGUUACGAUUGCAUGCGAGGUUAAGUUGAAGAGACGGAGCCGCAGCGAAAGCGAGUCUGAAUAGGGCGUUUGAGUAUGUAGUCGUAGACCCGAAACCAUGUGAUCUACCCAUGUCCAGGUUGAAGGUGCGGUAAAACGCACUGGAGGACCGAACCCACGUACGUUGAAAAGUGCGGGGAUGAGGUGUGGGUAGCGGAGAAAUUCCAAACGAACUUGGAGAUAGCUGGUUCUCUCCGAAAUAGCUUUAGGGCUAGCCUCGGAAUUGAGAAUGAUGGAGGUAGAGCACUGUUUGGACUAGGGGCCCAUCUCGGGUUACCGAAUUCAGAUAAACUCCGAAUGCCAUUCAUUCAUAUCCGGGAGUCAGACUGUGAGUGAUAAGAUCCAUAGUCGAAAGGGAAACAGCCCAGACCACCAGCUAAGGUCCCAAAAUAUAUGUUAAGUGGAAAAGGAUGUGGGGUUGCACAGACAACUAGGAUGUUGGCUUAGAAGCAGCCACCAUUUAAAGAGUGCGUAAUAGCUCACUAGUCGAGUGACCCUGCGCCGAAAAUGUACCGGGGCUAAACAUAUUACCGAAGCUGUGGAGUACACCUUUAGGUGUAUUGGUAGGAGAGCGUUCUAAGGGCGUCGAAGGCAGAUCGUGAGGACUGCUGGAGCGCUUAGAAGUGAGAAUGCCGGUAUGAGUAGCGAAAGACAGGUGAGAAUCCUGUCCACCGAAUGACUAAGGUUUCCUGGGGAAGGCUCGUCCGCCCAGGGUUAGUCGGGACCUAAGCCGAGGCCGACAGGCGUAGGCGAUGGAUAACAGGUUGAUAUUCCUGUACCCGUUGUUUUUGUUUGAGCAAUGGAGGGACGCAGGAGGCUAAGGAAUGCAGACGAUCGGAAAUGUCUGUCCAAGCAGUAAGUCUGAAGAGGAGUCAAAUGCUUCUUUUCUUAAGGACAAGCUGUGAUGGGGAGGGAAAUAAUAGUACCGAAGUUCCUGAUGUCACACUGCCGAGAAAAGCUUCUAGUGAGAAAACAGCGGCCCGUACCGCAAACCGACACAGGUAGUCGAGGAGAGAAUCCUAAGGUGAGCGAGAGAACUCUCGUUAAGGAACUCGGCAAAAUGACCCCGUAACUUCGGGAGAAGGGGUGCUGAUCAUACGAUCAGCCGCAGUGAAUAGGCCCAAGCGACUGUUUAUCAAAAACACAGGUCUCUGCAAAAUCGUAAGAUGAAGUAUAGGGGCUGACGCCUGCCCGGUGCUGGAAGGUUAAGAGGAGUGCUUAGCGCAAGCGAAGGUACGAAUUGAAGCCCCAGUAAACGGCGGCCGUAACUAUAACGGUCCUAAGGUAGCGAAAUUCCUUGUCGGGUAAGUUCCGACCCGCACGAAAGGCGUAACGAUUUGGGCACUGUCUCAACGAGAGACUCGGUGAAAUUUUAGUACCUGUGAAGAUGCAGGUUACCCGCGACAGGACGGAAAGACCCCAUGGAGCUUUACUGUAGUUUGAUAUUGAGUGUCUGUACCGCAUGUACAGGAUAGGUAGGAGCCGUAGAAAUCGGAACGCUAGUUUCGAUGGAGGCGCUGGUGGGAUACU